rnacentral:misc_RNA from 1 species
ACUAGUUUUGCUUUUCUUUAGCUACAAAAUUACCAAGGAAAAGAACAUGACUGAUGAGAUACAUGCUUAAAUGUUAAUCCAACCAAGAAUACAAUAAAAAUAGAAAAACAAAAACACACAUACCAGAAAAUAAAUAUUCUUUUCUGCACAAGAAGGAUUAGCAAUACACAUUUCUCUUCACCAAUCCUACUGUUGAUUGAUUAAAUAACUGAUUGUACCAUACAUGUCCCAAAUAUGAAUUAGAAAGUGGCAAUGUCACUUGGAAUUGAGUAGAGGUGUCGGGAAUGGGUAUAUAUCUGUGUCAGACUUGUGACCUUUUUAAUGCUCGGAUAUGUUACGUAGGCCAAAAGGGUUGAAGUAAUCUAUCAAAGGGGUCAGCCACAAUUAAAAUUGUGAUAU